GUGAGGUAUGAUCACUUAUAUCUUGCAAUGCACCCACCCAAAAUCACUGGAUGAGAAUUUUUUUUUCCUGGUUUUGCAAAGUCUUUAGCUAAGAAAAUGUGGCCUUUAAUUAAUCUCGGAUAAGUGUAUCAAUAGAGCAUUGCUCUUUUUGCUCUACUCACUAAGGAAUCCAAAUACAAUUCUGCCUGAUGAUAGAAACUUUCUUUAGCUUUUGUUUUAUAGUUAAUUAUUUCAAGAUCUCUCCUUUAUUACUUGGCUUUUUCCAUUUUAUUAUUGGGCUUAUUGUUUUUAAAAUUAUAUUAACUAUUUGUUGUAUCUCAAAUCAUCUUGGUUCAUUUGGGAAGUCUAUAUGGUAUGUUUUAAAAUUAUAUUUAUUUAUAUAUUUAUUUUUCAGAGAUGGGGUCUCUCAAUGUUGCCCAGGCUGAACUCCUGAACUCAAGUGCUCCUCCUGCCUCAGCCCCCUGAGUAGCUGAUACUACAGGUGUGUGCCACAGCAUCUGGCUAUUUUCUGAGCAUCAUUAAGUAGCUAGCGAAGUAACUUACAACUACUAGGCUUUAAAAGGUACCUUGUUUCAUUAUUUUGGAAGACAGAACAUGUGCUAUUACUGAAUAUCAUCUUAAAGAGUAUUCAGAUUUCAAACAGCAUAUUAAGUAUCAAGAUUUUGAUGAUUAAAAGAUACCUGCUUAUGACCAAUUGGCUGAAUUUGAAUGGACAGCCAUCCUCUUUUAAAACACUUUAAAUAAACACAGAGGCUCCUCCUGCCCUUGCUUUCUGUGCUGAUUGAUCUAGAAGGGGCCAUCUCCAUACUCGUGUUGCCUCAUGUCUAUGUAUAAACUGCAGUGCCACACUUAUUUACACAAACCUUGCCACCUGAAGAGAGUAAUUUAAAAAGUAAAAGAAUUUGCUUAUAAAUACUGAGUUACUGCCGCGCAGUGGCUCACAUCUGUAAUCCCAGCACUUUGGGAGGCCGAGGUGGGCAGAUCACCUGAGGUCGGGAGUUCGAGACCAGCCUGACCAACAUGGUGAAUCGCUGUUUCUACUAAAAAUACAAAAAUUAGCCAUGCAUGGUGGCACAUGCCUGUAAUCCGAGCUACUCAGGAGGCUGAGGCAGAAGAAUCGCUUGAACCGGGAGGCAGAGGUUGCAGUGAGCCGAGAUCACAUCACUGGACUCCAGCCUGGGCAACAAGAGUGAAAGUCCGUCUCAAAAAAAAAAUAAAUAAAAUAAGUACUGGGUUACCUAUUACCUUCUAAGACUCAGUUCCUGGAGGCAAGGGCGUCUAUGAAACGUGCACAGCAAUGUGCAGAUGUAUACUGCAGGUUGUGCUGUCAGGCAAUCUACAAUCUACAGAGUUCGACCCUGCUGCUCACUCUUUGAAAUUACUGCUGGCUAAAACUUUUUGCCUGAUCCCCAUGGGGGAAAGGUAUGGUGCAGAUUCAAGAAAUCGCUCAGCUGUUGGAACUCUGACUACACUGCAAGAAAGAGUCCCCCAAGCUUAUCGACUAAAAUCAGGCAAAGCCAGCGUACAUUAAAAGCUUUAGAUCAAUUUGUUGAAAGGAAGGCUGAAUCCAUUAUCAAAACACCAUUGCAAUAGCAUAGUAUAACGGUGACAAAGGAAAAAAUCAGUUACAUGGGGAAAACGAGUACCGAAGUGUGAGUCCACACGUGUCAUUGAAGAGGUUAGUAUUAGGUUGGUGCAAAAGUAAUUGCAGUUUUUGCCAUUAAAAAUAAUGGAAAAACUGCAAUUACUUUUGCACCAACCUGAAAUGAAAAAAUGAAACAGAAUGGAAGUAUAGCUAUAGCAUGAGAAAGAGCUUGUGAAAGCCAGGAGCCAGGAAAUAAGAUGCAUCCCUUCUCUGGAAAUCACUCUUUUGUACACACUAUGGCAUAUUUAGCAUGAAGCAGAAAACACCUAUUGUUGGUUUGGGCUGCUAUACCAAAAUAACUUAGACUGGGUAAUUUAUAAACCACAGAAUUUCACUGCCCACAGUUUUAGGGACUAGAAAGUCCAUGAUCAAGUUGCCAAUAGAUUCAGUGUCUGGUGAGGGCCCCUUCUUUCUGGAUGGCAUUUUUUAUGUGUCCUCACAUGGCAGAAGGGCAGAAAGGAGCCAAGAGCUCUCUUAUGCCUCUUUGGGUACUCAUCCCAUGCAUGAAGCUCUAUCCUCAUGGACUAAUCCCCUUUCAAAGGCCCCGCUUUCUAAUAGCAUCAUCUUUGUGAUUAGGUUUCAAUACAUGAGACUUGGAGAGACACAAACACUCAGACUACAGCACACCCAUUUUUCUCAUGCUCUUCAUUCUGGAUAGGGCAAAGCCAUGGGCUGCCUGGGUCCACCCACUGCAACAGCACUAUCUCACUUGGGAAGCCCUAGCCACCUGUGGGUAGUGACAUUUUGACAGUCAUGAGUCUGAAAAAGGAUAUGUUAUAAAUGUAAAGCACACUCCAUAUUUUGAAGACUUGGCACACAGAAAAAAAAU
rnacentral:lncRNA from 10 species